UGGGGAAUAUUGGACAAUGGGCGCAAGCCUGAUCCAGCCAUGCCGCGUGGGUGAUGAAGGCCCUAGGGUUGUAAAGCUCUUUUGUGCGGGAAGAUAAUGACUGUACCGCAAGAAUAAGCCCCGGCUAACUUCGUGCCAGCAGCCGCGGUAAUACGAAGGGGGCUAGCGUUGCUCGGAAUCACUGGGCGUAAAGCGCACGGAGGCGGACUAUUAAGUCGGUGGUGAAAUCCUGGAGCUCAACUCCAGAACUGCCUUCGAUACUGGGAGUCUCGAGUUCGGGAGAGGUGAGUGGAACUGCGAGUGUAGAGGUGAAAUUCGUAGAUAUUCGCAAGAACACCAGUGGCGAAGGCGGCUCACUGGCCCGAUACUGACGCUGAGGUGCGAAAGCGUGGGGAGCAA
rnacentral:rRNA from 1 species